AAAACCCGACUCCCAUUUUACCUGCCUUGAAUGGAGCAACAAAAACAUCCUGAUUUCACUGAGAGAGAUGCUCUGAGCAUCCCUCCAACAGACCAAUCACAGCUCAGCGCUGUUCACUCGUUCACUGAUACAAAACAUUGUAACAGUUGUGGUCUACACAACGUACCGCACACUGUGGCAUGUUUUGGGCGCAGUUGUUCUGUAGAAUAGCAGUGUUUUGUUUUUGAAAUAUUUUGAGGGAGAGGACAACAGAGAGAGUUCACAGGUACUGAUCUCUUUCAAAUUUUGGGAAAAAAAAACAUUUAAUAACAGAAACACUGUCACAUAGUUGACUAUCCGAUACAACACUGAAGCAGAAGUGGAUUAUAUAUAUAUAUGCCGUUUAUUUUUCCAUUGAUGAUACAACCUGAAGUUGACCACAAGUACAGAAGAUACCCAGUCAUUCUUAGCCCAGGCCAGCUACACCAGUCCAACACAGUACUCAAGUUGACUGCAGUAAAAAGCCAUAGGAAAACCACUCACUAGCCAGCGUCCAGCCACCUUGAUUAAAGUGACCAAGGGCUACCUUUACCAGGACAUCCACUGGCCAAACAAUCACACCUGAGACAUUCAAAGAACCUGUCUACGGAAGUAACCUCAACAUAGGUGCUGGAAGACAAGAAGAACACUGAAUUGUAUCCUAUUAGCAUCCAGCUGUGAACCACAAUUAGGCUCUUUGGACCAAUCGAGUAGCA